AUCCCAUGAUAAGGAAACUUACGAUGCAAUUCCUUGAAUCUUUCCCACGCCUCGUAUAAGGACUGGUCAUCCAAUUGUUGAAAAGUAGUUAUCUUAUUUUGGAACUU
rnacentral:snoRNA from 1 species